UACAGAGGUCUCAAGCGAUUGUUCGGAUUCAUUGGGCGUAAAGGGUGCGUAGGGCGGCGCGGUAAAGUCGGGUGUGGAAAAUCUCGGAGCUUAACUCCGAAAACUGCAUUCGAUACUGCCGUGCUUGAGGACUGGAGAGGAGACUGGAAUUUACGGUGUAGCGGUGAAAUGCGUAGAUAUCGUAAGGAAGAACCAGUGGCGAAGGCGGGUCUC
rnacentral:rRNA from 1 species